CAGUCGCCACGGGAAUACGUAGGUGGCAAGCGUUGUCCGGAAUUAUUGGGCGUAAAGCGCGCGCAGGUGGUUUAAUAAGUCUGAUGUGAAAGCCCACGGCUCAACCGUGGAGGGUCAUUGGAAACUGUUAAACUUGAGUGCGGGAGAGAAAAGUGGAAUUCCUAGUGUAGCGGUGAAAUGCGUAGAUAUAUGGAGGAACACCGGUGGCGAAAGCGGCUCUCUGGUCCGUAACUGACGCUGAGGCUCGAAAGCGUGGGGAGCAAACAGGAUUAGAUACCCCCGUAGUCCCUGUCUCUUAUAU
rnacentral:rRNA from 1 species